UACGAAGGACCCAAGCGUUAUCCGGAUUUAUUGGGUUUAAAGGGUGCGUAGGCGGAUUAUUAAGUCAGUGGUGAAAGCCUGCAGCUUAACUGCAGAACUGCCAUUGAUACUGAUGAUCUUGAGUAUGAUUGAGGUGGGCGGAAUGUGUCAUGUAGCGGUGAAAUGCUUAGAUAUGACACAGAACACCGAUUGCGAAGGCAGCUCACUAAGCCAUAACUGACGCUGAUGCACGAAAGCGUGGGGAGCGAACAGG
rnacentral:rRNA from 1 species